AGGUAAGCUACUAAGAGCGAAUGGUGGAUGCCUUGACUGGUAAAGGCGAUGAAGGACGUACUAGACUGCGAUAAGCUACGGGGAGCUGUCAAGAAGCUUUGAUCCGUAGAUUUCCGAAUGGGGCAACCCAAUGUAUAGAGAUAUACAUUACCUAUAUAGGAGCGAACGAGGGGAAUUGAAACAUCUUAGUACCCUCAGGAAAAGAAAUCAAUAGAGAUUGCGUCAGUAGCGGCGAGCGAAAGCGCAAGAGGGCAAACCCAGUGCUUGCACUGGGGGUUGUAGGACUGCAAUGUGCAAGAGCUGAGUUUAGCAGAACAUUCUGGAAAGUAUAGCCAUAGAGGGUGAUAGUCCCGUAUGCGAAAAACAAAGCUUAGCUAGCAGUAUCCUGAGUAGGGCGGGACACGAGGAAUCCUGUCUGAAUCCGGGUCGACCACGAUCCAACCCUAAAUACUAAUACCAGAUCGAUAGUGCACAAGUACCGUGAGGGAAAGGUGAAAAGAACUGAGGUGAUCAGAGUGAAAUAGAACCUGAAACCAUUUGCUUACAAUCAUUCAGAGCACUAUGUAGCAAUACAGUGUGAUGGACUGCCUUUUGCAUAAUGAGCCUGCGAGUUGUGGUGUCUGGCAAGGUUAAGCAAACGCGAAGCCGUAGCGAAAGCGAGUCUGAAUAGGGCGCUUAGUCAGAUGCUGCAGACCCGAAACGAAGUGAUCUAUCCAUGAGCAAGUUGAAGCUAGUGUAAGAACUAGUGGAGGACUGAACCCAUAGGCGUUGAAAAGCCCCGGGAUGACUUGUGGAUAGGGGUGAAAGGCCAAUCAAACUUCGUGAUAGCUGGUUCUCUCCGAAAUAUAUUUAGGUAUAGCGUUGUGUCGUAAUAUAAGGGGGUAGAGCACUGAAUGGGCUAGGGCAUACACCAAUGUACCAAACCCUAUCAAACUCCGAAUACCUUAUAUGUAAUCACAGCAGUCAGGCGGCGAGUGAUAAAAUCCGUCGUCAAGAGGGAAACAACCCAGACUACCAGCUAAGGUCCCUAAAUCUUACUUAAGUGGAAAACGAUGUGAAGUUACUUAAACAACCAGGAGGUUGGCUUAGAAGCAGCCAUCCUUUAAAGAAAGCGUAAUAGCUCACUGGUCUAGUGAUUUUGCGCGGAAAAUAUAACGGGGCUAAAGUAAGUACCGAAGCUGUAGACUUGCGCACAACUUAGAUUAUUUAAGUUUAGAAUAUGAGAAACUAAGUUAUGUUUAGUUAUAUUUUUACUGAUUUUUAUAGAGUAAAGAUAGAAAUAAAACUUAGUAAAAUCAGUAAAAAUAUUCUUAGGCUAAAGUUAAGUAGUUUAAGUUGUGUGCAAGUGGUAGGAGAGCGUUCUAUUUGCGUCGAAGGUAUACCGGUAAGGAGUGCUGGAGCGAAUAGAAGUGAGCAUGCAGGCAUGAGUAGCGAUAAUUAAUGUGAGAAUCAUUAACGCCGUAAACCCAAGGUUUCCUACGCGAUGCUCGUCAUCGUAGGGUUAGUCGGGUCCUAAGUCGAGUCCGAAAGGGGUAGACGAUGGCAAAUUGGUUAAUAUUCCAAUACCAACAUUAGUGUGCGAUGGAAGGACGCUUAGGGCUAAGGGGGCUAGCGGAUGGAAGUGCUAGUCUAAGGUCGUAGGAGGUUAUACAGGCAAAUCCGUAUAACAAUACUCCGAGAACUGAAAGGCUUUUUGAAGUCUUCGGAUGGAUAGAAGAACCCCUGAUGCCGUCGAGCCAAGAAAAGUUUCUAAGUUUAGCUAAUGUUGCCCGUACCGUAAACCGACACAGGUGGGUGGGAUGAGUAUUCUAAGGCGCGUGGAAGAACUCUCUUUAAGGAACUCUGCAAAAUAGCACCGUAUCUUCGGUAUAAGGUGUGGUUAGCUUUGUAUUAGGAUUUACUCCGAAAGCAAGGAAACUUACAACAAAGAGUCCCUCCCGACUGUUUACCAAAAACACAGCACUCUGCUAACUCGUAAGAGGAUGUAUAGGGUGUGACGCCUGCCCGGUGCUCGAAGGUUAAUUGAUGGGGUUAGCAUUAGCGAAGCUCUUGAUCGAAGCCCGAGUAAACGGCGGCCGUAACUAUAACGGUCCUAAGGUAGCGAAAUUCCUUGUCGGUUAAAUACCGACCUGCAUGAAUGGCGUAACGAGAUGGGAGCUGUCUCAAAGAGGGAUCCAGUGAAAUUGUAGUGGAGGUGAAAAUUCCUCCUACCCGCGGCAAGACGGAAAGACCCCGUGGACCUU
rnacentral:rRNA from 1 species